rnacentral:rRNA from 1 species
CCUACGGGAGGCAGCAGUGGGGCAUUUUGCACAAUGGGGGCACCCCUGAUCCAGCAAUGCCGCGNGCAGGAAGAAGGCCUUCGGGUUGUAAACUGCUUUUGUCAGGGAAGAAAUCUUCUGGGCUAAUACCUCGGGAGGAUGACGGUACCUGAAGAAUAAGCACCGGCUAACUACGUGCCAGCAGCCGCGGUAAU